GUGGAUAACCUGCCUUGCACUGGGGGAUAACACUUAGAAAUAGGUGCUAAUACCGCAUAAGCGCACAGAGCCGCAUGGCUCAGUGUGAAAAACUCCGGUGGUGUAAGAUGGAUCCGCGUCUGAUUAGCUAGUUGGCGGGGUAGAAGCCCACCAAGGCGACGAUCAGUAGCCGGCCUGAGAGGGUGAACGGCCACAUUGGGACUGAGACACGGCCCAAACUCCUACGGGAGGCAGCAGUGGGGAAUAUUGCACAAUGGGGGAAACCCUGAUGCAGCAACGCCGCGUGAGUGAAGAAGUCAUUCGUGAUGUAAAGCUCUAUCAGCAGGGAAGAAAAUGACGGUACCUGAGUAAGAAGCCCCGGCUAACUACGUGCCAGCAGCCGCGGUAAUACGUAGGGGGCAAGCGUUAUCCGGAUUUACUGGGUGUAAAGGGAGCGUAGACGGCCAGACAAGUCUGAAGUGAAAAUCCAGCGCUUAACGUUGGAAGUGCUUUGGAAACUGCCGGGCUGGAGUGCAGGAGGGGCAGGCGGAAUUCCUAGUGUAGCGGUGAAAUGCGUAGAUAUUAGGAGGAACACCAGUGGCGAAGGCGGCCUGCUGGACUGCAACUGACGUUGAGGCUCGAAGGCGUGGGGAGCAAACAGGAUUAGAUACCCUGGUAGUCCACGCGGUAAACGAUGAUUACUAGGUGUCGGGGGGCUAGAGCCCUUCGGUGCCGUCGCAAACGCAAUAAGUAAUCCACCUGGGGAGUACGUUCGCAAGAAUGAAACUCAAAGGA
rnacentral:rRNA from 1 species